AUCAAAUCUGAUGUUCAAAAAAUCUUUCAGAAAUGUUUUAUUUUAUCAUAUUUGAUCUGAGAGAUCAGAGUGCAAAGAAAGGAUCAAGAUCAGAUCAACCCCUAAAAUGCGUGCCAAGCUCAACAGCUCUGGCAAAGGUUCAAUGACUCAGUGCGCAUUCAGAAAAGAAAAGCUUCUUCAAUUUGCAGCUACUUAUUUACGCCGAUAAACAAGGGCUUAUAACGGAAUGGGAAUUGGAUCAGUCGGUUGCACGGCGACAGCUCGAAUUACGGAAUGCAAACAGGUAACACAAGACGAUGACGAACAGAAACGAAAACGAAACGAAAUCAAAUAAGCGAUUCGGCAAAUAUGAAAAUGACCCUUACUUUGAGUGUGUUCUCUCCUCCGUUCUCCGUUCUCGGUUCUUCGAUCUUUUUGUGCUCUGAUCUGUGUGUGUGUGGUUUAAAUGUCGCAUUUGGUGGUCAGUAGAGGGUUCAAAACCUGUGGAGCAGCGGGUGUUAAAUAUCAAAUAAACACUUGUGUACACAUUAGCAUACAAGAUGAAAGAGGAAUUUAUUAAACAUCCAUAAAAAUGUAGAAUAGAACCCUGAUCAAACUACGGUUACAGUUGUUCUUUUUGACCAAAGGCAGCGACAACUUAAGAAAUAGAAAUAAAUGUCAAAAUUUGUGGCUCAUAAAUAAAAAGAGAGUUGAAAGGAGGGGGAGCAUUGAGACCACCAUCAUAUAAGAUGGCUGUAAAUUACACAGCACAUUCCGAAGCCGAAGGCAGACAACAAAAAAAAACAAAAAAAGAGAAAAGAGACCAAAAACAAACGCCGCUGAAUGUCAUCAUCAAAGCCCACAAUCCUUGUGCUGAUUCAGGCUCAGCCUGAGGCAACGUCUUCGUCUCCAUCUCAGCUGCAUUAAUUGUUGAGAAACAAUCUCAGGCUUGUCGUGGUUGUCGCAUUUAAUGAACAUUUAAUUGCAGCCCACAUGUGCGCCAAACAAUGUCCACAAUGAGAGUCGAGGAGCCGACCGCAGGCACAAAUUGAAAACAAAGUGUUAUUGCCCAACGCAAAGACGCUCUUCAUUAUCGUUGUCAUCAUCAUCAUCAGCAUCAACAUCCACAUUAUCGCCAGAGCUGACAAGGAGACAAACGAGCUUACAGUAGCUGCUGCAGUAGCUGAUAUGGCCAUGACAGUGUCAACCAGAACACGAGAUGACGAGGCAAACGCGAUACGCAAUGCCAUUUUGCCAUUUUGCCAAUAAAAGCUGCGAUUCAUCAGAAUUUCUUGGAUUCCCAUAGCGGAGUUAUUUGCUCUCUCUCUCUCUCCCUCGUAUAGCGGGAGCAGCUUAAAAAGUCGCUGGCUGGUAAACAGGUCUCAGCUCAACUCUGCUCGGGAGAAAGGUGCUGAUGACUAGAUGACGAGAUGCUAAAAGAAAUGGAGCUCAUAAAGCGCACAAUUCAUCUGUUUGCCACAACAUGCAAUUAUUAGUUGCAAGUUGGCUUAACCCAUCGUUGCCUCAAU